GCCUGGCUGGCUCAGUUGGAAGAGCAUGGGACUUUUGAUUUCAGAGUUGUGAGUUCAAGCCCCGUGUUGGGUG
rnacentral:tRNA from 1 species